rnacentral:snRNA from 1 species
CUAUUCAUUUCAAUAGUACAUAUAAUAAAGUUGGAAUGAUACAGAGAUUAGCAUAGCCCCUGAGCAAGGAGAUGCAAAUCUAUGAGGCAUUCCACAUUUUU